CGCUGGCGGCGUGCCUAAUACAUGCAAGUCGAACGGUCUUUCUAUGGAAGCUUGCUUCCACUGAGAAGAUAGUGGCGAACGGGGUGAGUAACACGUGGGUAACCUGACCCAUAAGAGGGGGAUAACAUCCGGAAACGGGUGCUAAUACCGCAUAGUUUUCUUGAUCGCAUGAUUGAGAAAGGAAAGACGGCCUUUGUGCUGUCGCUUAUGGAUGGACCCGCGGCGUAUUAGUUAGUUGGUGAGGUAACGGCUCACCAAGACGAUGAUACGUAGCCGACCUGAGAGGGUGAUCGGCCACAUUGGGACUGAGACACGGCCCAAACUCCUACGGGAGGCAGCAGUAGGGAAUCUUCCGCAAUGGACGAAAGUCUGACGGAGCAACGCCGCGUGAGUGAAGAAGGUUUUUCCGGAUCGUAAAACUCUGUUGUCAGAGAAGAACAAGUUGGAGAGUAACUGCUCCAGCCUUGACGGUAUCUGACCAGAAAGCCACGGCUAACUACGUGCCAGCAGCUGC
rnacentral:rRNA from 1 species